rnacentral:rRNA from 1 species
GAUGUUGGCUUAGAAGCAGCCAUCAUUUAAAGAAAGCGUAAUAGCUCACUGGUCGAGUCGGCCUGCGCGGAAGAUGUAACGGGGCUAAACCAUGCACCGAAGCUGCGGCAGCGACACUGUGUGUUGUUGGGUAGGGGAGCGUUCUGUAAGCCUGUGAAGGUGGCCUGUGAGGGUUGCUGGAGGUAUCAGAAGUGCGAAUGCUGACAUAAGUAACGAUAAAGCGGGUGAAAAGCCCGCUCGCCGGAAGACCAAGGGUUCCUGUCCAACGUUAAUCGGGGCAGGGUGAGUCGACCCCUAAGGCGAGGCCGAAAGGCGUAGUCGAUGGGAAACGGGUUAAUAUUCCCGUACUUGGUGUUACUGCGAAGGGGGGACGGAGAAGGCUAUGUUGGCCGGGCGACGGUUGUCCCGGUUUAAGCGUGUAGGUGUGUGUUCCAGGUAAAUCCGGUUCACUUUAACACUGAGGCGUGACGACGAGGCACUACGGUGCUGAAGCAACAAAUGCCCUGCUUCCAGGAAAAGCCUCUAAGCAUCAGGUAACAUCAAAUCGUACCCCAAACCGACACAGGUGGUCAGGUAGAGAAUACCAAGGCGCUUGAGAGAACUCGGGUGAAGGAACUAGGCAAAAUGGUGCCGUAACUUCGGGAGAAGGCACGCUGACACGUAGGUGAAGUGAUUUACUCAUGGAGCUGAAGUCAGUCGAAGAUACCAGCUGGCUGCAACUGUUUAUUAAAAACACAGCACUGUGCAAACACGAAAGUGGACGUAUACGGUGUGACGCCUGCCCGGUGCCGGAAGGUUAAUUGAUGGGGUCAGCGCAAGCGAAGCUCCUGAUCGAAGCCCCGGUAAACGGCGGCCGUAACUAUAACGGUCCUAAGGUAGCGAAAUUCCUUGUCGGGUAAGUUCCGACCUGCACGAAUGGCGUAAUGAUGGCCAGGCUGUCUCCACCCGAGACUCAGUGAAAUUGAACUCGCUGUGAAGAUGCAGUGUACCCGCGGCAAGACGGAAAGACCCCGUGAACCUUUACUAUAGCUUGACACUGAACAUUGAGCCUUGAUGUGUAG